CCUACGGGUGGCAGCAGUAAGGGAUAUUGGUCAAUGGGGGAAACCCUGAACCAGCAACGCCGCGUGAGGGAAGACGGUUUUCGGAUUGUACACCUCUGUCCGCUGGGACGAUGAUGACGGUAGCAGAGGAGGAACCCCCGGCUAACUACGUGCCAGCAGCCGCGGUACUCCGUAGGGAGCGAGCGUGGUCCGGAUUUACUGGGUGUAAAGGGUGCGUAGGCGGCUUGCCAAGUCAGUAGGGAAAUCCCGGGGCUUAACCCAUGAACUGCUAUUGAAACUGUCGAGCUAGAGGGAAGGAGAGGUAGGCGGAAUUCCCGGUGUAGCGGUGAAAUGCGUAGAGAGCGGGAGGAACACCAGUGGCGAAGGCGGCCUACUGGG
rnacentral:rRNA from 1 species